CUGGCUCAGAACGAACGCUGGCGGCAGGCUUAACACAUGCAAGUCGAACGCCCGUAGCAAUACGGGAGUGGCGGACGGGUGAGUAACGCGUGGGAACGUACCCUGAGGUACGGAAUAACCGAGGGAAACUUCGGCUAAUACCGUAUGAGCCCCGCAAGGGGGAAAGAUUUAUCGCCUUGGGAGCGGCCCGCGUCGGAUUAGCUAGUUGGUGGGGUAACGGCCUACCAAGGCUUCGAUCCGUAGCUGGUCUGAGAGGACGAUCAGCCACACUGGGACUGAGACACGGCCCAGACUCCUACGGGAGGCAGCAGUGGGGAAUCUUGCGCAAUGGGGGCAACCCUGACGCAGCCAUGCCGCGUGAACGAUGAAGGCCUUAGGGUUGUAAAGUUCUUUUACCCGUGACGAUGAUGACGGUAACGGGGGAAUAAGCUCCGGCUAACUUCGUGCCAGCAGCCGCGGUAAUACGAAGGGGGCUAGCGUUGUUCGGAAUUACUGGGCGUAAAGCGCGCGCAGGCGGUUCGAUAAGUUGGGGGUGAAAUCCCCGGGCUCAACCCGGGAAUGGCCUUCAAGACUGUCGAGCUAGAGGACGAGAGAGGUGAGUGGAAUUCCCAGUGUAGAGGUGAAAUUCGUAGAUAUUGGGAAGAACACCGGUGGCGAAGGCGGCUCACUGGCUCGUUUCUGACGCUGAGGCGCGAAAGCGUGGGGAGCAAACAGGAUUAGAUACCCUGGUAGUCCACGCCGUAAACGAUGAGUGCCAGGUGUCGGGGGACUUAGUCCUUCGGCGCCGCAGCUAACGCCUUAAGCACUCCGCCUGGGGAGUACGGCCGCAAGGUUAAAACUCAAGAGGAAUUGACUUAAGGGCGA
rnacentral:rRNA from 1 species